GCACGCCCCGGCCGGAUGAAAUUUGAACAAUAUAAUCAAUUGAUUUACCCAACCCAAGACCUAAUAUUCCAAAUUCCAAAUUCCCAAAUUUCCCAAUCCCAGACCGUGCGUUGGUGAAUGGUGCACUGAAUCUUCUCCAAUUUUACUUUCCUCUCCGGUCUUCCUCUUCUCGGCUUCUCCUCUCUCUUUGUCAGUUUUCCUCAAUUUCUCUUCCGGUCUUCGAUUCUUCGGUCUCCCCCGAUUAGGCGCUUGCUGGCUGCUGUAGAUACUCCGUACUCGGAUACAGGACGGGAGUCACGGGACCUCACCUCUCCACUCCUUAGUCAGGCUCCAUAAAAAUGGUAUGUAUUUACCAUGUUUGGAUUAAUCAUUAAUGGAUUUGUAUUUCUUAGAACAUGGGUUUCAGACUCCAAGUUUAUACUUUGUAAAUUGUAGUAUUUUGAUUUUAUUUUUUGCAAAUUGGUAUGGAAUCCAUGGAUAAAUAAUGGAUUUGAUUCAGUGAUUCUUCUAAAAUAUGUUUGGCAGUAUUAGUUUGGAUAAUUUGAUUCAAUGUUAGUGACUCUUCUAGCUUGGUUAUUUUUUGAAUAUAGUAUAAUUGGUAUUUAUUUAUAUAAUGAAUUUGUUUUUUAACAGUCAUGAGCCAUGAAGAAAUAUUUUAAACGAAAAUCCAUAUGUUCGAGUAGAGAGGAAAUUAUUGUUGAAACGAGUGUUCAAAAAGAAAAAGAUGGCCGGAAAGAAUCAAGUACUGGGAGUAAAAGAGAUGUUGGGGAUAAAAUUGAUUUAGAACAACUACCCUCGGAUAUUGGAUUGCGAACUCCAAUUGUGAGUUACAGUAUUAAUGUUCAAGGUGAAAUUAGAAGAGCAUAUGUACAAAAGGGUCCAGGUUAGCUUCGAAAUCACUUGUGUCCAUAGAAAGAAUUUGUAGAUUUUUUGUUAAGACGAUUUAAAACUUUUCGGUUUUAUGAUUUUCCUGAUUGGUUGGAAUACAACAUAGCAAAAGAUGCCCUAUUUUGCUUUUAUAUUACCUUUUCAAACCAAAUUAUGAAGAACAUGGUGGUGGUGAUUCUUUUGUUGAUGGAUGGUUCUCGAACUGGAAAAAGAAAGGAAGGCUUCAAAUUCAUGUUGGGAAAAGUGGCAAUGCACACAACCAAGCUCGAAUUAAGUAUGAGGCUUUUGUGAAUUAGAAACAAAAUAUUGAUUGUAUUCUCUUUAAGAAGUCUAAAAGAACAAAAGAUGAGUAUCAAAUUCGUCUGAAUGCAUAAAUUGAUUGCGUUCGAUGGCUUCUACAACAGGGGCUUUCAUUUCGUGGGCAUGACGAAUCUGAAGAUUCAAUAAAUCAAGGAAGUUUUCUUGAACUAUUACAGUGGUUAUGUGAUCAUAAUAAGGAAAUUAAUGAUGUUUCUUUGAAGAAUGCUCCCGAAAAUCUUCAGUUAACAUCACCUCAAAUUCAAAAGGAUAUUGUGAGUGCUAUUGCAUUUGAAAAAUUUAAUGUUAUUAUGAAGGAUAUUGGUGAUGGGUUGUUUUCUAUUCUUGUUGAUGAAUCUCAGGAUGUAUCAGUGAAUGAGAAAAUGUCAGUUGUUCUACGUUAUGUGAAUCAAAAAGGACAAGUCGUGGAAUGUUUUAUCAGUGUUGAACAUGUCUCUAGUACCACAACUUUUUCACUGAAGGAUUCUAUUGAUCACUUGUUCUCUAGAUUUAACUUGAGUAUAUCUAGUUUAAGAAGUCAAGGUUAAGAUAGGGCUAGUAAUAUGUGAGGUGAGUACAAUGGUCUCAAAGCACUUAUUUUGAAAGAGAAUUCUAGUGCUUUCUAUAUUCAUUGUUUUGCUCAUCAGUUGCAACUAGCUCUUGUAGUUGUGGAAAACAAGCAUGCAAAUAUUAAAACUUUCUUUACUUUAGCGAAUAAAGUGGUAAAUGUCGUUGGCGGAUCGGCUAAGCGAUGCGAUCUUCUUCGACAGAAGAAGAGGCUUAAAGUUGUUGAAUCAUUUAAUAUUGGUGAAAUCUUAAGUGGAAAGGGCCUUAAUCAAGAGACUACUCUUCAGCAACCCGGUGAUACUCGUUGGGGCUCUCAUUAGAGUUCUUUACUUAGCUUGAUUCUCAUGUUUUCUGCUACAGUUGAUGUCAUUGAGAUUAUUGCCACUAAUGAUACUAGUUGUGGAAAGUGAGGGAAGCUCAUUUUUUGUUGGUAUUUAUGUUGACAUUUGAUUUUGUAAUCAGUCUACAUCUCAUGAAAAAGGUAUUGGGCAUUUCAAAUUAAUUGUCAAAAUCAUUACAACAGAGAGAUCAAGAUAUUAUCAACGCUAUAAAAUUAGUGACAAUAUGUAAAGAGAAAAUCCAAGCAACGAGGGACAAUGAAUCAGAAUUAUUUUUAAGAACAGUUUCCUUUUUUUGCGAAAAGUACAACAUUGAUGUUCCCAACAUGUAUGAUAUUUUUAUACCUCUAGGCCAUUCAUGGCUUAAUACAUAAGAAAUGACAAAUUUGCAUAAUUUUCGUGUGGAUUUCUUCUACGCUAUCAUCAAUAUGCAAAUUCAAGAGUUGAAUGAUCGUUUCUCUGAUGUAAAUAGUGACUUACUCCUUUGUGUUGCUUGCUUGCGUCCGAAUAAUUCAUUUUCUGCUUUCCACAAGGACAACUUAAUUCAGUUGUAUGAGUAUUAUCCCAAAGAUUUUAAACCAAUAGAGAUAUUGGCACUUGAAGAGCAAAUUAGACAUAUAUUAUUGAUAUGCGCAUUCACGAAGAUUUUUAGGGGUUACGAGGUCUUAGUGAUCUUGCAGAAAAGUUAGUUGUGAUGAAAAAAAAUGAGGUAUAUUCAUUAGUUUACAUGCUAGUAACAUUGGCGUUAAUUCUUCCAGUUGCUAAUGCUACAGUAAAUAGAGUUUUUUCAGCAAUGAAGAUCGUCAAGAAUCGACUGCGUAAUCGAAAGGGAGAUCAAUGGUUAAGUGAUAGUUUGGUUGUAUAUAUUGAGAAUGAUAUACUUAACAAUAUUGAUAACGAUGUAAUUAUACGACGUUUUUAGGGUAUGAAAACGUGUAGGCUACAAUUGUAAUAGCGACGUGUAGGCUACAAUUGU
rnacentral:lncRNA from 1 species